UGCUGGUGGAGUGAUUGUCUGCUUAAUUGCGAUAACGAACGAGACCUCGGCCCUUAAAUAGCCCGGUCCGCAUUUGCGGGCCGCUGGCUUCUUAAGGGGACUAUCGGCUCAAGCCGAUGGAAGUGCGAGGCAAUAACAGGUCUGUGAUGCAACCACCAGGCUGCUCGGGGUGGCUGGAGUGAGCAAUACCCCUUCUUACCCAACCAGACACAACAGCUGGGCCUGUGUGUGCCUGAGAUCUCUCCCUCUAAAUACUAGGACGACUCAGCUCGCCUCACGGCAGGCCUUAAAAUUGCCCAGUGGGUGCCCCCUUUUUUGCUUUCCUCUCCUUUACUUCCCUCUAUUUGACAAGGUCCUAUCUUCACCUGGAUGUUGUGUUUACCCAAAAUGGUCGGGUACCCUGUACACCCCAGAGACUGUGUAUAAUAUUCCUCCGAGAGCCCUCUUACGCUUUUUCGGCUCUACGCUCCUCAAACACGGGGCAAUCCGUGUUGACACCCCCCCCCCAACAAAAUAUAAAACAAGAAAGUUUU
rnacentral:rRNA from 1 species